rnacentral:rRNA from 1 species
UACGAAGGGGGCUAGCGUUGCUCGGAAUCACUGGGCGUAAAGGGCGCGUAGGCGGGUCUUUAAGUCAGGGGUGAAAUCCUGGAGCUCAACUCCAGAACUGCCUUUGAUACUGAAGAUCUUGAGUUCGGGAGAGGUGAGUGGAACUGCGAGUGUAGAGGUGAAAUUCGUAGAUAUUCGCAAGAACACCAGUGGCGAAGGCGGCUCACUGGCCCGAUACUGACGCUGAGGCACGAAAGCGUGGGAGCAAACAGG